UACGUAGGCGGCAAGCGUUGUCCGGAUUUACUGGGCGUAAAGAGCGCGCAGGCGGUCGUGCAAGUCGCGUGUGAAAGCCCCCGGCUCAACUGGGGAGGGUCACGCGAUACUGCUCGACUCGAAGGCAGGAGAGGGAAGUGGAAUUCCCGGUGUAGUGGUGAAAUGCGUAGAUAUCGGGAGGAACACCAGUGGCGAAGGCGACUUCCUGGCCUGUUCUUGACGCUGAGGCGCGAAAGCUAGGGUAGCAAACGGG
rnacentral:rRNA from 1 species